CUCCAGUCUGAAUCAAGUCUGGCUCUGACUGCCGAGCGGACAUGAAAGAGCUUUGCCGCUCCCGAGCUCUAUUCGGUUACGAUCGUUCGCGCGCGAGAUUUUCAAAUUUUAAUCAAAAAACCGUUUACGUGAAUUGUUGGUGAAUGUGAUUUGAUUAGUGAAUUGGAAUUGUGAUCAAAUGUUGUGUGAACGUUUUCGGAUUAUUUGCUCUUGAUGAAGAGAUAGAAAGAGUCUAUGGAAAUCGCAGAGGCGGUUUCCAGCAAUCCUCCAAGUCCAGAGGACGCUACGAUGUGGGACGUUAUUGACGCCGCCGCCGACUGCGAAUGUCCCGGUCCUCCUCCGGAAUUUCUGCUACCGCCACCCCCGCGGCCUCCCUCCUUACAACCUCUGGAUCCGAUGUUUUGCACUGACGAUCCACUGACAAUCGAGACGUGUGACGCGCUUCCGCUGAUAGAUGCCAGCUACCGAAGUAGUCCAUCUUCCCAGACAUUGGCUGUGAUAGUUUUAUGUUCAGUGUUACUCGGACUACUAGUUUUCAUAGCUGUCAUUCUAGUUUGGAA
rnacentral:lncRNA from 1 species